rnacentral:rRNA from 1 species
CCUACGGGUGGCUGCAGUGGGGAAUAUUGCACAAUGGGCGCAAGCCUGAUGCAGCCAUGCCGCGUGUGUGAAGAAGACCUUCGGGUUGUAAAGCACUUUCAGCGGGGAGGAAGGCGUUAAGGUUAAUAACCUUGGCGAUUGACGUUACCCGCAGAAGAAGCACCGGCUAACUCCGUGCCAGCAGCCGCGGUAAUACGGAGGGUGCAAGCGUUAAUCGGAAUUACUGGGCGUAAAGCGCACGCAGGCGGUCUGUCAAGUCGGAUGUGAAAUCCCCGGGCUCAACCUGGGAACUGCAUUCGAAACUGGCAGGCUAGAGUCUUGUAGAGGGGGGUAGAAUUCCAGGUGUAGCGGUGAAAUGCGUAGAGAUCUGGAGGAAUACCGGUGGCGAAGGCGGCCCCCUGGACAAAGACUGACGCUCAGGUGCGAAAGCGUGGGGAGCAAACAGGAUUAGAUACCCUUGUAGUC